AGCGAACGCUGGCGGCAGGCUUAACACACGCAAGUCGAGCGGGCAUAGCAAUAUGUCAGCGGCAGACGGGUGAGUAACGCGGGGGAACGUACCUUUUGGUUCGGCACAACUGAGGGAAACUUCAGCUAAUACCGGAUAAGCCCUUACGGGGAAAGAUUUAUCGCUGAAAGAUCGGCCCGCGUCUGAGUAGCUAGGUUGUGAGGUAAUGGCUCACCAAGGCGACGAUCAGUAGCUGGUCUGAGAGGAUGAGCAGCCACAUUGGGACUGAGACACGGCCCAAACUCCUACGGGAGGCAGCAGUGGGGAAUAUUGGACAAUGGGCGCAAGCCUGAUCCAGCCAUGCCGGGUGAGUGAUGAAGGCCCGAGGGUUGUAAAGCUCUGUUGUGCGGGAAGAUAAUGACGGUACCGGAAGAAUAAGCCCCGGCUAACUUCGUGCCAGCAGCCGCCGUAACAC
rnacentral:rRNA from 1 species